UUAUGGCUCAGGAUGAACGCUAGCUACAGGCCUAACACAUGCAAGUCGAGGGGAAACGGCAGCUUAGCUUGCUAAGCUGGACGUCGACCGGCGCACGGGUGAGUAACGCGUAUCCAACCUGCCCCACGGUGAGGGAUAACCCGCGGAAACGCGGCCUAAUACCUCAUGGUCUCCGAGUUUGCCAUCAACCUUGGAGUAAAGAUUCAUUGCCGUGGGAUGGGGAUGCGUCUGAUUAGCUUGUUGGCGGGGCAACGGCCCACCAAGGCAACGAUCAGUAGGGGUUCUGAGAGGAAAGCCCCCCACAUUGGAACUGAGACACGGUCCAAACUCCUACGGGAGGCAGCAGUGAGGAAUAUUGGUCAAUGGGCGAGAGCCUGAACCAGCCAAGUAGCGUGCAGGACGACGGCCCUAUGGGUUGUAAACUGCUUUUAUGCGGGGAUAAAGCGGGCGACGUGUCGCCCUUUGCAGGUACCGCAUGAAUAAGGACCGGCUAAUUCCGUGCCAACAGCCGCGGUAAUACGGAAGGUCCGGGCGUUAUCCGGAUUUAUUGGGUUUAAAGGGAGCGCAGGCCGGGUAUUAAGCGUGUUGUGAAAUGUAGGCGCCCAACGUCUGCACCGCAGCGCGAACUGGUGCCCUUGAGUACGCACGACGUUGGCGGAAUUCGCCGUGUAGCGGUGAAAUGCUUAGAUAUGGCGAAGAACUCCGAUUGCGAAGGCAGCUGACGGGAGCGCUACUGACGCUCAUGCUCGAAAGCGCGGGUAUCGAACAGGAUUAGAUACCCUGGUAGUCCGCGCGGUAAACGAUGGAUGCCCGCUAUUUGCGCAUUAGCGCAAGUGGCCAAGUGAAAACGUUAAGCAUCCCACCUGGGGAGUACGCCGGCAAGGGUGCAACUCAAAGGAAUUGACGG
rnacentral:rRNA from 2 species